rnacentral:rRNA from 1 species
UACGUAGGGGGCAAGCGUUGUCCGGAAUCAUUGGGCGUAAAGCGCGCGUAGGCGGCCCUGUAAGUCCGCUGUGAAAGUCAAAGGCUCAACCUUUGAAAGCCGGUGGAUACUGCAGGGCUAGAGUCCGGAAGAGGCGAGUGGAAUUCCUGGUGUAGCGGUGGAAUGCGCAGAUAUCAGGAGGAACACCAAUAGCGAAGGCAGCUCGCUGGGACGGUACUGACACUGAGGCGCGAAAGCGUGGGGAGCGAACAGG